CCUUGUUGUGGGGGUCCAUGGUGAGG
rnacentral:piRNA from 1 species